GACGAACGCUGGCGGCGUGCCUAAUACAUGCAAGUAGAACGCUGAAGAGAGGAGCUUGCUCUUCUUGGAUGAGUUGCGAACGGGUGAGUAACGCGUAGGUAACCUGCCUGGUAGCGGGGGAUAACUAUUGGAAACGAUAGCUAAUACCGCAUAAAAUGGAUUAUCGCAUGAUAAUCCAUUGAAAGGUGCAAAUGCAUCACUACCAGAUGGACCUGCGUUGUAUUAGCUAGUUGGUGGGGUAACGGCUCACCAAGGCGACGAUACAUAGCCGACCUGAGAGGGUGAUCGGCCACACUGGGACUGAGACACGGCCCAGACUCCUACGGGAGGCAGCAGUAGGGAAUCUUCGGCAAUAGACGGAAGUCUGACCGAGCAACGCCGCGUGAGUGAAGAAGGUUUUCGGAUCGUAAAGCUCUGUUGUAAGAGAAGAACGAGUGUGAGAGUGGAAAGUUCACACUGUGACGGUAUCUUACCAGAAAGGGACGGCUAACUACGUG
rnacentral:rRNA from 1 species